rnacentral:lncRNA from 1 species
UGCCUAUCAGGGGGCUACGUGUCCUUCAUCAGGAAAUGGACGAAGAGAUUAUAAGAGAAUGUUCCUUGCAGAACUUUCACUUCUCUCCCUUAUUUAUCUCUCUUCACUCUGCUUCUCUUUAAACUCUCUCUAAUCUCUUCUCCUUCCGGCCAUCUCGCCUCCCUGAAACCACCCCAUAAACCACCACAUACCCCUAGAUUUCGGUUGACCUUCAAUCAGAAUCUUCAAACAUUCAACCAAUUUUUCCAGAAACGCCAUCAAUCCUCCAACCUGGGUUCUUCAGGUGAACCCUAGGGUUCAUAAGAUGAACCCUAACAACUCCUUCAACCUAGAAACCUCCCCAACUGAAGAACACUAACUAGGUUCUUCUGAACCCCAAGAACCCUAAGGGUUCUCCAGAACCCUAACCCCGCCCAGAUGAACCCUAACCCUAGCCAUUACCCAACAACUCCCUAAACCAUGGCCGAUCCACAAAUCAGCCUUCCCUAACCCAAAUCAAACCCCUAAAUUCCGGAUCAAAACCCCAAGAAAACAAAUAAAUUUCAACCAUAAUCCCCUUUUAAAUCAUUCAUCAGUUCAACCUACAAACCUGCAAUCAACACGAACAGACAAGCAACAACAUCAAAUAUAUUAUAUGAAAAAGGGGCCAACCUACGGAAUGGAGAUGUAUUCCGGUUCACGAAAGGUAAUUUCUGGUCCUUUUCCUUUCUCCUUUUGAUCUGAUUGUCUUCUUCUUGUUUCUGAAUUCUUCUUUUCCUUGUUUGAUGUGAGGUUCUUCUAGAUUGUGGCUUAGCUCAAGAGAGUUAGGGUUUAGAUGUUAAACCCUAACCUCUAUUUAGUGGGAGCUCUGGUGAGGGUUUGGUGGAUUGCGGGAGGAAGAAUUCUAAGUAUUCUUUUAGGGUUUCUUUUUCUUCUCCCUAAUUCUGUUUUAGAUUAGAGUUUAUAUAAAUUAGUCUUUAGGUUAGGAUUUUAAUUCGAUUGAUUCAAUUAGGUAACUUAGAAUUUGAUUCUGAUUGUAAUAUGAUUUCGAUUGAUUUUGUGUUAGAAAUAGAAAUUAUAUUCAAAUUAUAACUGAAAUUUGUGAUGUAUGUAGUCUGGAUUUGAUUUGUAAUUCAUAAUUUUGAAUGUAAAUGGAAAGUUUUAAUUCAAUUACGUUUACUGUUUGAUCACUCCUUCUAUGCGUGAAAUCAGGGGUUGAAUUGGGGAAGAAGAUGAACACGAUGUUGGGUCAAUAUCUUGACUCGGUUGGAUGAUGGGUUUAGGUCACGUUUGACCAAAAUAACAUGUGGACUUUGGUCACACUUGACCCAAUUUUUGCUACGUACUUAUUGUAUAAAUAAACAUGAGUUAUACACAACAUAAAAUGAUAAAAACUAAUUAUAAAAUUUAUAUAUAGGUAGAAGUACUAGAACAAUCAUGUCUAAUAGCAACAAAUAUCUCAAACUUAAUCUAAUAAUUAGAAUUAAGUCUUAGGCAUAUCGGUAACAAACUUAAAAAUCAACUACUUAAGUGAAACUUUGUAAAAAUGAUAAUUAGUUAAUUACUUUUAGUUAUUUUAUUUAUUUAUUUUAAGGAUACAAAUACUACUUAAAAAACUAAUUAUUCUUAGUGUUAUGGGAUAGCCUAGAGAGAAGAAGGAUCCGGUGCAUCAUAGGUAAAGAAGGUGUGUUAUCCUAGUAAAAACUGCAGGUGAUUUUGAUGUUAGAUCAAAAAGACAAAUCUCUGCAUUCUA